UUUUGGUCAUACUUACCUUGGCUAUAAUUUUCAUACUCUUGUCUCUUAUAGUGCAUAUAUCAUUACUGAAAUGCACUUCAUAUCCAUUGUGUUGGAGCAGACCCAAGCUCAACAAAUUAUGCAGCAGGUUAGGCACGUAAUAAACAUCUUUUAUGGAGCACUCAAGCCCAUUCUCUAUGGUGACCGGUAUUCUCCCUUUCCCGACAACUUGCAUAACUUGAUUAUUUCCAAAUUUAACCGUGGAUUUAAAAGACUCGUCCAAAUCAGCAAAUAUAUAACUUGAUUAUUUUCAAAUUUAACCGUGGAUUGAAAAGACUCGUCCAAAUCAUCAAAUAUCUCCUUCUUACCGCACAUAUGAUUACUACAUCCGGAGUCAACGUACCAGACAUCAUUGUUAGUUUCUUCACUAACAGCAGCCAUAGAUGAGGAGUAAAAAAUGGUUUCACUUUUAUCCCUUUAUCCUCAGCUACUCGAGCAUGAACUUGUUUAUUUUCAGUUCUUUUACUCUAACAAUCUUUAGCAUGAUGACCCAAUUUACCGCAGUUAUAGCAUUUAAGGGUAGGUUUUUGCUGACCUAGAUUGUUGUAAUUUCCUCUUGGCUGGAAAUGAUGAUUACCUCUUCC
rnacentral:lncRNA from 1 species